CAGUGAAGGAAAUGAACAACAAAAACAAAAACAACAACAAAAGAACAUUAGUAGAUUCAGCAGAAAUAGCAUAAAUAAUUAUCUAAACAUAGGAACUAAUAAUAAAUAAUAAAAAUAAAUAAAUAGAUAAAUAAAUAAAUAAAAUAAAAUAGCAUGCAACGAUAUCAGACAGUAACUACCAUAAAUAACUACAAUAAGAGAGACACAAUCCAAUACACAAAUCAUCUAUGGAUAGCUCUGCCAAGCCUCACCCAACCCCGCGUGAGGAGUACGAAAAACUCUAUGGGCCCCUAUCCUACAACCCUGAUACUAGACCUCCAGACUUUUCUAUCAAGGGCCAUGUCCUCAGAAACCCGCAUUCUAGCCAUGUCUGGGCCCCUAUCCUACAACCCUGAUACUAGACCUCCAGACUUUCCUAUCAAGGGCCAUGUCCUCAGAAACCCGUACCUUUCAGCUAUUUCAUCUUAUCUAUUUCUAUUUCGUAUAUUGCUGCUAUUUUGUUAUUUUAUGUUAUAU
rnacentral:lncRNA from 1 species